AGAUAUUUUACUAAAGGAAGAAUUGUGUUUUGACUCUCCGGCCAACUCAAUUCAAUGGUGAACAGCAUGGGCUUGAUGGCCUUGACCCAAUUUAACCCACAGUUUUUUUGUCAAAUUCAUCCCUCAUCGGAAACCAGAUACAAACACAACCUGGAAGAUUGUAAUUACGAACAAAAAUCCAAACACCGAAUGGCUACUGCCUUCCACGUUUCCCUUCAUGCACCCAUAGUUC
rnacentral:lncRNA from 1 species